UUCAAUAAGAGGCUAGUUAAAACAAGUAGCAUUUAUUGAAAGUAAAGAUAAAAAUUAUACAAAACUGCUUGAUAUUGUGAUUUGUUGGAGUGACAAGUUUUCGAACGAACAUCUGAGUCACGGGUGAUGACCGGCGCUUUUUGGAGUGUCCUUUCCUUUUGCUUGGUUGGCGGUGAUCGCGAACGGAAGUUCUUUUGUACGUGGUGUGAUAGUGUCCCGAAUUCCAAGAGGUCUGAACCGUGCCGUUCCCUGAUAAACGGGCAGGGCACGCAUCGUCAUCCUCUACGUUAAAAGGGAAUUUUGGAAUAAAUCCGAAAGCCCCGUGAUUUUGCGGACUCACUGCCACGUGCUGAGUUCUGUUACUGAAGGUAAGCAGGUCCUAUUCCAAGGAUUACCUUGAGUUUCUUCUUGUUAUUUUGUUGUUUGCAUUGGCGGCAUUGUUAACCAAUGCGCGUGGUUGUUAUUCACAGAUUUUGGUUGGGCAGUGCUCAGUGGCGAGCUCUGCGCUGUGUCCUGCUUUAGCGGCUGUCGCCGGAUUUUUCCUCCGUUGAAGGUAUGUUGUAAUUUCUUUCUCGACCUCAUUCGCCUCUCCGCUGAGUUAGAAUGAAUUAUUAGAAACACGGUACUCGGUGAUGUGUCCGCAAUUUAGUAAAUUUUGUUCAAAAGGUGACGAUGGUGCCUGAGAGUCGUUCCCCGACCAUGACUGGCCGAUAUGUACACUACCGAGGCCGUCCACCACGGUCCAGGGCUACCCUACUUCAUAGGAGGUGUUUGGCACCGGCUGUCCCGCAGUGCCAGACGCUUGCUGCGCCCGACGGGUGCGGAGGGGGUUGAGCCGAGUGGUGGCGACUAGCGCGCUAGUAAUCUUAAGUAUUUUUAAUCAGUACCAACCAAACGGCCCAACGACCCAUCCCUUAAUUUUUCUUUUUAAAUAUUUGUGUCUAACCCACAAUUAAAUUGUUGUCAAUUUAAGUA